rnacentral:rRNA from 1 species
UACCCGCUGGAACUUAAGCAUAUCAAUAAGCGGAGGAAAAGAAACCAACAGGGAUUGCCCCAGUAACGGCGAGUGAAGCGGCAACAGCUCAAAUUUGAAAUCUGGCCCCCCUGCGGGGUCCGAGUUGUAAUUUGCAGAGGAUGCUUCUGGCGCGGCGCCUUCCAAGUCCCCUGGAACGGGGCGCCAUAGAGGGUGAGAGCCCCGUUGGGAUGGCCGCCAAGCCUGUGUGAAGCUCCUUCGACGAGUCGAGUAGUUUGGGAAUGCUGCUCUAAACGGGAGGUAGACCCCUUCUAAAGCUAAAUACCGGCCAGAGACCGAUAGCGCACAAGUAGAGUGAUCGAAAGAUGAAAAGCACUUUGAAAAGAGGGUUAAACAGUACGUGAAAUUGUUGAAAGGGAAGCGCUUGUGACCAGACGUGCGCCGGGUGUUCAGCGGGCGUUCUCGCCCGUGCAUUCGCCCCGGCGCAGGCCAGCGUCGGUUCGGUCGGGGGGACAAAGGCGCCGGGAACGUGGCUCCCUCGGGAGUGUUAUAGCCCGGCGUGCCAUGCCCCCGCCCGGACCGAGGUCGCGCUCCGCAAGGACGCGAAAGAAACCAACAGGGAUUGCCCCAGUAACGGCGA